rnacentral:rRNA from 1 species
GAUGAACGCUGGCGGCGUGCCUAAUACAUGCAAGUCGAGCGAACGGACGAGAAGCUUGCUUCUCUGAUGUUAGCGGCGGACGGGUGAGUAACACGUGGAUAACCUACCUAUAAGACUGGGAUAACUUCGGGAAACCGUGGCUAAUACCGGAUAAUAUUUUGAACCGCAUGGUUCAAAAGUGAAAGACGGUCUUGCUGUCACUUAUAGAUGGAUCCGCGCUGCAUUAGCUAGUUGGUAAGGUAACGGCUUACCAAGGCAACGAUGCAUAGCCGACCUGAGAGGGUGAUCGGCCACACUGGAACUGAGACACGGUCCAGACUCCUACGGGAGGCAGCAGUGGGGAAUCUUCCGCAAUGGGCGAAAGCCUGACGCAGCAACGCCGCGUGGGUGAUGAAGGCCUUCGGAUCGUAAAACUCUGUUAUUAGGGAAGAACAGAUGUGUAAGUAACUGUGCCCAUCUUGACGGUACCUAAUCAGAAAGCCCCGGCUAACUACGUG